GACCAUAUGCGUGUAGUGAUAACAAACUAACCUCGUAGCAAAUACCACAUAGCAAAUAAGCCUAGACCAUACGCGUGUAGUGAUAAGAUUAGCGCGGAGUAACAAGUUGUAAAUAUUUUAACUUGUGCAAAAUAUCAUAAACCAAAACAUGUUUACGACAUGUGUAUGUUUUUGGUGUGUAAGCAUAAGAAAAAUAAGUGAUGUAAUGUGUUUAUGAAGGAGACUUAGCACAAUAUAUAAAGAGGCAUUGGGUUGGACUGAGGUGAAGCGAGUUCACUGUCGGGAGGACAUCAUCGCCGGUGUUACCGACGCCCCGACAGUUUUGUUGCCGACCACUCGCUGGUUCUCAGUCUCAACUUCUGCGGUGACCUCUCUGUCUAGAUUGUGAGGCGACGUCUCCUUCUCCGUGACAACUUCAGCGGACCGUGACCGGGCCACGAUAGUGGUGCAGACCUCGUCCCAAUAUAGAUCAAGGAAGCUCUAGAGUCAGCUUUCUCGGAGGGAUCAUUUCAUCCCACUCCUAACUCAUGCUCCUUACCGAGUCUCUACUGAAUAUUGUGACUUAGCCAGAAGAACACUUCCCUCUGGCUGGUUGGAACUCCAAUGACCUCUAGCCUUGUAGGAGUCUUGGCAACCAUCUGGUUCCAUUGCCUUGACUCUUUGUCAGAACCUGGAGCAUUUUCUAAGACACACACUGCUACCUAUGGACCAAGGACUCAAGAGGACUCCAGUGUGUAUUUCCAAGAGUUUGAUUUCUACUUGACUUACUUCUCUCUUGAACCCAUCACCUUUUCAUCACUCCAGCCUUCCUGAAUCCCAAUCUCUCUUUCCUCACAGCAGGGAGACUUCCAUCUUUUCCUUGGAAUCUCCUCCCUACGCGCACCAUCCAGAACUAUUCCAGGUGAAAAUUCGAGUGAAUCCUGGGGCUCAGUUUUUGUUUGUUUGUUUGCUUGCUUGCUUUCCUUUUCACAUGGUUUUCAAAUGUCGUUCGUUUUCAAUGUUUUAAAGAGUAAUUUAUGUAGAUAUAGAUAUAGACAUAUCUAUAUAUAUAGAUAGAUUUUUUUUCUCUUUUCCAAUUCCUCAUGGGCUUCUGAUUGGUUACUUUUCCUCUAACAGGGUUGUAUUAGCUUUCUAGGGGUGCUAUUACAAGAUACCACAAGCCUAGAGGAUGAAACAACAGAAGUAGACAGUAUCACAGUUCUAGAGGCUACAGUGCUCAUAGACCAUGCUCCUUUUGGAGGUAUUAUGGGAGGAUCUCUUCCAGGCCACUUUCCCAGAUUGAUGCAUUUGGACUUUGGACUUCUUCACAUGGCCCUCUCCGUCAGUGCAUAUCUGUCUAUCCACAGUCUCCCUUAGAAGGACACAAGUCCUCCUGAAUUAGGGGCCCAGGCUAUUCAAAUAUGAUCUCAUCCACGCUAGUUACAUCUCCAGGGACCCUAUUUU